AAUAAGUGCAGUUUUGCACUGUUCAUAUCGAACGUUUGACCGUCGGUUUUAGUUGAAAAUUUUUUAUGAUUAGUAUUUUUGUUGUUAUUAGAUGAUAAAACAUGAAUAGUACUUUAUGUGUGACUAAAUUUUUUAAAUUUUUUCAAAUAAGACGGACGGUCAAAUGUGGGACACGCAUAUCCACGGCUGCGCUUAUU
rfam:Oryza punctata chromosome 5, whole genome shotgun sequence.